ensembl:lncRNA
CUCUAGAAUUGCAUGAAUACAAUUAGCCAUUAGCAACAUCAUUACACACAGAGAGGCCUUAGAUCAGGAAAUAAUAGAAACAGCCACAUACUGCUGAAAUGUGGAGAGGGGAAAAACCACAAAGCAAGAGCCAGCUGUUGAUAACCUUGCAGACUCUGAGCGUGAAGCCAAAUCCUCUAGUGAGGACACCCAUCCCUACUUUGCCUUCUUGUAGUGAAAGAAGGUGUGCAGUGAAGGAAGUGGAUAUUGAACAGGUAUGGGCCUCACCCUUUGUGUACUCAGUGUGCUGGAAAUUCAUGAAUGAAAAAAGACCAGUGAAAGACAGUAAAUCUUCUCACAGCCAGCUCUGGGUGUUAAUACUAUUUUUAAUACUAGUUUUAAAAUCCUAAAACAUUGCAAAGCUAAUGUUACCAUGACUAAGUCUCAUCCCAUCACUGGCACAGUUUGUGAAAAUAUUCCUUCAAGUGCUGUAUCUAUAAAAAGGACACAUCAGUCCUGUAUACAAAUCUCCUUCGCUUAAUGAUUUCUUCAUUACCAGGAGUUUCACAGAAUGUAACUAAGGUCCAAAUUCUGCAUAUCUGUGCUGUCUGUAAUAAGUAUUCAUAAAGCAGGAAUCAGAAAAGGAGAGCUGAAGCCUCAGCAGUGACUUCCAAAUUGAAAAAUGAGAACAUGUGGGUUAGAUAAAUGGAUCUAAGCAAUUAUACCUCUGCACACAACACACAUGGUAGAACAGUGGGCAGCUGCUUCUCUGAUCUAGUCCUGAGAACAACCACAUUCAGUAGAAUUCAGUGCUGGAUGAUGCACCAGCACCUUGCAGCAGGUGGAUCAUUCUCAUAGGUAUCUAGAGAGGAAUCCUCUUUUUGAGUUUGUAAAAUUUUCAGCUCCGCACCGCCACCAGCAAUAGUUGUUUCUGUGGUUUCCUCCUCUGUCCUUGCCCUGUCCUACAUCUCAGUUUUCUGUGUUACUUCCUGCUCAACACACCCCCAGGACUGAUCACCAUUGCAUAGGAAAUCCUGCAUUUCUUUCCUAUAGAUUUCAGACCUUGAUUAAACUUCCAUCAUAAACAAUCACUUCCUUUCCUUUUCCCACACUGGAUGAUACACCCUCUGCAAUGUCUCACAUUUUUGCAAGCAUCUUCAGAAGAAAAAAAAUGAAGAAAAAAAAACAUUAAACAGUUUUUCCUAAUAUCUCAUGUGGACAAGACAAUAGUCAUCAGGCAAGACUGCAGGAUCAGCAGGAGCAAGGUGCUUACUUCUUCCCCUUUAAGAAGCAUAAAAGAUGCAAGUUCCUCUGGUUUAUGUAACUGUCUUUCUGAAAUGAGAUAACGUUACAUUGGACUUUGUAAGAAAUAGAAAGACUCUCUUCAGUGAUGUAACACCUUUCUAAUCUAAUCCCACAUGGCUUGUGGUGACUACUAUGUAUUGUCCUACAAAUUUAUCACAAGAAGCAGAAUUUUGGCUCCCAAUACACACAAUUUUGUUAAAUAGCCUUUUCAAAUUAUUUUUGAUAGGCCUGGUGAGUAGCAAGAUAGAUAGAGUACAAAAGAUUAUUUCACAAUAAAACACACUCAAACUGAAACCUCA